rnacentral:rRNA from 1 species
GGAGCGUUCUGUAAGCCUGCGAAGGUGUGCUGUGAGGCAUGCUGGAGGUAUCAGAAGUGCGAAUGCUGACAUAAGUAACGAUAAAGCGGGUGAAAAGCCCGCUCGCCGGAAGACCAAGGGUUCCUGUCCAACGUUAAUCGGGGCAGGGUGAGUCGACCCCUAAGGCGAGGCCGAAAGGCGUAGUCGAUGGGAAACAGGUUAAUAUUCCUGUACUUGGUGUUACUGCGAAGGGGGGACGGAGAAGGCUAUGUUGGCCGGGCGACGGUUGUCCCGGUUUAAGCGUGUAGGCUGGUUUUCCAGGCAAAUCCGGAAAAUCAAGGCUGAGGCGUGAUGACGAGGCACUACGGUGCUGAAGCAACAAAUGCCCUGCUUCCAGGAAAAGCCUCUAAGCAUCAGGUAACAUCAAAUCGUACCCCAAACCGACACAGGUGGUCAGGUAGAGAAUACCAAGGCGCUUGAGAGAACUCGGGUGAAGGAACUAGGCAAAAUGGUGCCGUAACUUCGGGAGAAGGCACGCUGAUAUGUAGGUGAAGUCCCUUGCGGAUGGAGCUGAAAUCAGUCGAAGAUACCAGCUGGCUGCAACUGUUUAUUAAAAACACAGCACUGUGCAAACACGAAAGUGGACGUAUACGGUGUGACGCCUGCCCGGUGCCGGAAGGUUAAUUGAUGGGGUCAGCGCAAGCGAAGCUCUUGAUCGAAGCCCCGGUAAACGGCGGCCGUAACUAUAACGGUCCUAAGGUAGCGAAAUUCCUUGUCGGGUAAGUUCCGACCUGCACGAAUGGCGUAAUGAUGGCCAGGCUGUCUCCACCCGAGACUCAGUGAAAUUGAACUCGCUGUGAAGAUGCAGUGUACCCGCGGCAAGACGGAAAGACCCCGUGAACCUUUACUAUAGCUUGACACUGAACAUUGAGCCUUGAUGUGUAGGAUAGGUGGGAGGCUUUGAAGUGUGGACGCCAGUCUGCAUGGAGCCGGCCUUGAAAUACCACCCUUUAAUGUUUGAUGUUCUAACGUGGACCCGUGAUCCGGGUUGCGGACAGUGUCUGGUGGGUAGUUUGACUGGGGCGGUCUCCUCCUAAAGAGUAACGGAGGAGCACGAAGGUUGGCUAAUCCUGGUCGGACAUCAGGAGGUUAGUGCAAUGGCAUAAGCCAGCUUGACUGCGAGCGUGACGGCGCGAGCAGGUGCGAAAGCAGGUCAUAGUGAUCCGGUGGUUCUGAAUGGAAGGGCCAUCGCUCAACGGAUAAAAGGUACUCCGGGGAUAACAGGCUGAUACCGCCCAAGAGUUCAUAUCGACGGCGGUGUUUGGCACCUCGAUGUCGGCUCAUCACAUCCUGGGGCUGAAGUAGGUCCCAAGGGUAUGGCUGUUCGCCAUUUAAAGUGGUACGCGAGCUGGGUUUAGAACGUCGUGAGACAGUUCGGUCCCUAUCUGCCGUGGGCGCUGGAGAACUGAGGGGGGCUGCUCCUAGUACGA